rnacentral:rRNA from 1 species
UACGUAGGGGGCGAGCGUUGUCCGGAUUUAUUGGGCGUAAAGGGCGCGUAGGCGGUUUUCUAAGUUUGGAGUGACAGUGCUCGGCUUAACUGAGCAAGGCUUCUGAAAACUGGAGAACUUGAGGACCAGAGAGGGACAUAGAAUUCCGGGUGGAGUGGUGAAAUGCGUAGAUAUCCGGAGGAAUACCAAAGGCGAAGGCAGUGUCCUGGAGGGUUUACUGACGCUGAGGCGCGAAAGCUAGGGGAGCGAACAGG